rnacentral:tRNA from 1 species
GGCUUUGUAGUGUAAUUUAACAUUUUGGAUUGCAAAUCCUGAGACGCAGAAUAGUUAUCUGCCAAAGCUU